rnacentral:rRNA from 1 species
UUUAUGGAGAGUUUGAUCCUGGCUCAGGAUGAACGCUGGCGGCGUGCCUAAUACAUGCAAGUCGAGCGAACAGAUAAGGAGUUUGCUCUUUUGACGUUAGCGGCGGACGGGUGAGUAACACGUGGGUAACCUACCUAUAAGACUGGAAUAACUCCGGGAAACCGGGGCUAAUGCCGGAUAACAUGUU